UGUAGUUUAUUCAUGCCAAGUUCAACGGCCCUCUGAACUUAUCUACGAAAGCAGUUUCUGAACUCUAAGCUUGUGUGACUAUCGCUGAAGUGAUCUAUUGUGGUAACUCCUUUUGAAUCUCCCAGACCUGUUAGGACAGCAAGGACAAGUGCACGAUGGUGCGCCGAAGCAUCACGGUGAACAUGGUAAUGUCAGGUUGUUGAUGGAGCGAUACAAAUUGGUUUGAAGGCCGGGUACUACUACGCCGCCAAUAUUGCGCGCAAACAUUAUUGAGUACUGAUGGUGAGAUUUUCCAUUUCUUUAUCUUUUGUCCUUUUAAUCAAGAACAAUAUUGAGAUCUUACAUGGUUGUCCAAAUUUCGCAACAAGAAUAAGAAUGAGAGGCAUGUUACAGGUAGUUUUAUCCUGAGAAUUGGUCACCAUUCUGUAACCUUAAUACAAACAUAUAACUUGUGACAUAUCCAUGCAUAUAUGUGCUUUGCAAAUCGACUGACCUUUUUUUGUCUUCUGUGAAUAGAUGUUGAAUGACUUCCUAAUUUUUCUUUCAAUGGUGCAUAGUUCAACUUUUUCUUCAUUUGCUAUCUUUAGAUUCUUCAAAGCAAUUAAAUUUCUCAGUUGCACCUGAGAUAAACCUACAAUCUAGAGCACAUGGAAACCAUAGAUCAUUUUUUCGAUUGCUUAUGCAAAGUUAAGUAAUGGCUUUCAGAAGUAUUUAAACAUCAUUUCUUUUAUAUGGAUGUCUACCUUUCCAAAAGAAUUGAUAUUCUAUCUGGUGUAAUUCAUGAUCAAUUGAUGUAUCAAACAUAAUAUAGGACGCAAAAACAGAGUGUAUGAGCAUGCAGUAUAAUUGGUGAGACUAGGAGAAUGUACUGACAAGUGACUUCCUUGCGUGUCCUUGAUGCUGCUUCCUUGACUCACACAUUAGUUCUCUUAAUAUGUAUCAUACUCGAUUUGAUUGGCAGGCUUCAGGUAAUUUGUAUUCGUGUGGUAAGAAUCAAUUGCACCACUUUCUUGAUGCAAUCACAUCAAUGGACCUGACUGCUACAAAUUACAUCACGAACUAUGUGCUACUUUAUCAAUUGUAGUUUCUUUGUUCAGUUAGUUCUCUGAAACAAAACCACUUCAACUCUCGAUGUGUAUGUUUCUCGGCAAAAUUUGUUGUAAUACUAAUCUUCCAGAGAUUAUUGUAAUAAAUAACUAUAUUUAGUAUCU